rnacentral:rRNA from 1 species
UUGCAUAUCAAAAAGCGGAGGAAAAGAAACCAACCGGGAUUGCCUUAGUAACGGCGAGUGAAGCGGCAAAAGCUCAAAUUUGAAAUCUGGUACCUUCGGUGCCCGAGUUGUAAUUUGGAGAGGGCAACUUUGGGGCCGUUCCUUGUCUAUGUUCCUUGGAACAGGACGUCAUAGAGGGUGAGAAUCCCGUGUGGCGAGGAGUGCGGUUCUUUGUAAAGUGCCUUCGAAGAGUCGAGUUGUUUGGGAAUGCAGCUCUAAGUGGGUGGUAAAUUCCAUCUAAAGCUAAAUAUUGGCGAGAGACCGAUAGCGAACAAGUACAGUGAUGGAAAGAUGAAAAGAACUUUGAAAAGAGAGUGAAAAAGUACGUGAAAUUGUUGAAAGGGAAGGGCAUUUGAUCAGACAUGGUGUUUUGUGCCCUCUGCUCCUUGUGGGUAGGGGAAUCUCGCAUUUCACUGGGCCAGCAUCAGUUUUGGUGGCAGGAUAAAUCCAUAGGAAUGUAGCUUGCCUCGGUAAGUAUUAUAGCCUGUGGGAAUACUGCCAGCUGGGACUGAGGACUGCGACGUAAGUCAAGGAUGCUGCAUAGUCCUUU